GUUUAGGGGCAACUCUCCUCACAACGACCCUGUGAGGUGGGCUGUAUUGAGGGGGGGGUGCCCUCCUGGCGCCUCACAAGCAGCCGGGCGAGGUAGGCAGGGCCGGGUUUAGGUUUGAUGAGGCCGUGACCAGGGAGAAGAGUCGGUGGAAGAAGAUUGGAAGAAAUUCAAAGAUUAUUUACAGAAAUAUUGCAAAAUUAAUGAAUGUUAGAGUGAUGUUGGAUUGAAAUUAAAUGGUUUCUAGCUAUACAGGCUUUAAAAUUAUAUAUAGAUUAAGAUUAAGGAUUAGGAAUAAAAAGGUUAAAAGAAUGGAAAAUUGGCUAUUAAGAGAUAAAAAUUUAAUGUUAUAUUAUAUUAAGAUUCAGGAUUGGGAUUAAAAAAGAGGGAAAGGAAUUGCUGGACAAAUAAACUAAAUUGGAAUACAAAAGAGGGAGGUAUGAGGAGGUCCAGAAAAUAAGUAAAUUCAAAAGUAGUGAUGAAAAGAUGGAAUUGUUUUUAACUGUGUUUUCUCUUUUUUUAUAUUUUUGUAUUUUGUAUUGUGUAUUUUUCCUUUUACUGUUAAAUUCUCUUUUAUUGAUAUGUUUCUUUUAUCUGAAACUUUAAUAAAUAUCAUUUUUAAAAAAAAUAGGUUUGAUGAGGCCCUAGGCUACUCAAGGUAAUGGGGCCCUUCAUUAUGUCCAGCUGUCCUUUGUCAACAACAAAUUGUCGCUGUUUUUUGUGUGUUGAAUAUAUGCUAUGUGGUAAUUUAUGGACCUAAUAGGUAUCUAAAGCCAUUUGCACAUAACAAAAUAUGUAUUUUAUCAACGUAAUUGUUGAACUGAAAUACAAUUAAGAAGUAUAUUAAUAGUGAAAUAUACGAUAUCUUUAUUGUCAUUGUCCCAUAC